CUCACUGAAUUGUUGCUGAAAUGAACUGCUUUAGAGAACAAAGAAAAGCGAAUCAUAUAAGCCUUAGGAUUAAAAGAGCUGUAAUGGAAAAGGCCGACCAAAGCAAGAUUAUGAAAGUAUCUAAAACUGGCAUGGCUUCCUCAAGCAAGGCCCAAGAGACAGAGGCAGCGGCACAGCUACUGGUUCCCACAGGAGUAGAUUCUGUGAGAGAUGCAGAAACAGGGGGGUGCUGGGGUGGGGGCAUAGAGAUUCUCAGCUAAGGCUCAGGAGAUGGCACAAACCCACAAAACACCAAGGCACAAAGGCACUUGCCUGGUGAUCUUAGUCUACCCCCUUCAUUUUGUAGCUGAGAAAAUCAGAACAACAAGGUGACAUCCGACAAUACAAUGUUAGUGCUGUAACUGAACUCAGCUUUCCUCUUGGAGCUUUUUUUUUUUUUUUU